rnacentral:rRNA from 1 species
UGUAUACCAAUAAGCGGAGGAAAAGAAACCAACAGGGAUUGCCUUAGUAACGGCGAGUGAGCGGCAAAAGCUCAAAUUUGAAAUCUGGCACCUUCGGUGUCCGAGUUGUAAUUUGAAGAAGGUAACUUUGGAGUUAGCUCUUGUCUAUGUUCCUUGGAACAGGACGUCACAGAGGGUGAGAAUCCCGUGCGAUGAGAUGUCUAACUCUAUGUAAAGUGCUUUCGAAGAGUCGAGUUGUUUGGGAAUGCAGCUCUAAGUGGGUGGUAAAUUCCAUCUAAAGCUAAAUAUUGGCGAGAGACCGAUAGCGAACAAGUACAGUGAUGGAAAGAUGAAAAGAACUUUGAAAAGAGAGUGAAAAAGUACGUGAAAUUGUUGAAAGGGAAGGGUUUGAGAUCAGACUUGGUAUUUUGUAUGUCUUGCUUUCGGGUGGGGCCUCUGCAGUUUACUGGGCCAGCAUCGGUUUGGAUGGUAGGAUAAUGACAUUGGAAUGUGGCACUACUUCGGUGGUGUGUUAUAGACUUUGUUGAUACUGCCUGUCUAGACCGAGGACUGCGUCUUUGACUAGGAUGCUGGCAUAAUGAUCCUAAACCGCCCGUCUUGAGCGCACGAGACCA